rnacentral:SRP_RNA from 21 species
AGGGAUGUAAUGGAGAGGGGAUCUGGCCGAAGGCCCAAGCUGUGUUGGCCACCUCAUAAGGAGGCGCCGACACCCAAGGGCUGGCUGCACAGAGCAAGGCGGCGAGGCGCAUCUGCCACUCCUCACCGGAUGGAAGG